rnacentral:rRNA from 1 species
UACGGUGAAUACGUUCCCGGACCUUGUACACGCCGCCCGUCAAGCCAUGGAAGCCGGGUGUACCUAAAGUCGGUAACCGCAAGGAGCCGCCUAGGGUAAAACUGGUGACUGGGGCU